rnacentral:rRNA from 1 species
GGACUACUCGGGUAUCUAAUCCUGUUUGAUCCCCGCGCUUUCGCGCCUCAGCGUCAGUUGUCGUCCAGAUAGCCGCCUUCGCCACCGGUGUUCCUGCUAAUAUCUACGAAUUUCACCUCUACAUUAGCAAUUCCGCUAUCCCCUCCGACACUCUAGCUUGACAGUUUCAAAGGCAGUUCCACAGUUAAGCUGUGGGAUUUCACCCCUGACUUGACAAGCCGCCUACGCGCGCUUUACGCCCAGUGAUUCCGAACAACGCUAGCACCCUUCGUAUUACCGCGGCUGCUGGCAC